GAUGAAGAACGUAGCGAAAUGCGCUAAGUAAUGCGAAUUGCAGAAUUCAGUGAGUCAUCGAAUCUUUGAACGCACAUUGCGCCCUGUGGUAUUCCGCAGGGCAUGCCUGUUCGAGCGUCAUUUCAACCCUCAAGCCCCGCUUGGUGUUGGGCCCCGCCCGCCGUGGCCGGCCCUAAAGACAGUGGCGGCGCCGCCUGGCCCUCAGCGUAGUACAGCUCUCGCUCCAGGGUCCGGCGGCCGCCUGCCAGAACCCCCCCAACUCUGUGGUUGACCUCGGAUCAGGUAGGGAUACCCGCUGAACUUAAGCAUAUCAAUAAGCGGAGGA
rnacentral:misc_RNA from 1 species